CAGGGUUGAUGUGCAACACGUGUUUGCGGUCUUUUUCAUGCCGUAGGAUAUCAGCUAGAAAAUGUGAAACGAGAUGACAAUCUCGAUAUCAAUGUUUGUUCGCUACACGAAGACGGCAAAUGUUAUCGGGAGAUUAGCGACAGCGCCAUAGAGAAUGUUGCAGUAAAUGUUACACAAGGAUCACUUUCUUGUUUUAAUAGCAGACUUAUAUCAUAUUUGCUGAAUUCUUGACGUCCUCGUACAGCAUGUCUCUGCUUACAAUAUUGAACGCGACAGUUAUGACAUUUAGCGGA